CCUACGGGGGGCAGCAGUGGGGAAUAUUGCACAAUGGGGGAAACCCUGAUGCAGCGACGCCGCGUGCAGGAAGAAGUAUUUCGGUAUGUAAACUUCUAUCAGCAGGGAAGACAAUGACGGUACCUGACUAAGACUCCCCGGCUAACUACGUUCCAGUAGCCGCAGUCAUACGUAGGGGGCAAGCGUGAGCCGGAUUUACUGGGGGGAAAGGGAGCGUAGGCGGCGAUGCAAGUCAGAAGUGAAAGCCCGGGGCUCAACCCCGGGACUGCUUUUGAAACUGUAUGGCUAGAUUGAAGGAGAGGCAAGUGGAAUUCUUAGUGUAGCGGUGAAAUGCGUAGAUAUUAGGAGGAACACCAGUGGCGAAGGCGGCUUGCUGGACUGUAAAUGACGCUGAGGCUCGAAAGCGUGGGGAGCAAACAGGAUUAGAUACCCCUGUAGUC
rnacentral:rRNA from 1 species